GACGAACGCUGGCGGCGUGCUUAACACAUGCAAGUCGAACGGAAAGGCCCCUUUGGGGGUACUCGAGUGGCGAACGGGUGAGUAACACGUGAGUAACCUGCCCUUGACUUCGGGAUAACUUCAGGAAACUGGGGCUAAUACCGGAUAGGAAUCCUUGCUGCAUGGUGGGGGUUGGAAAGCUUCGGCGGUUUUGGAUGGACUCGCGGCUUAUCAGCUUGUUGGUGGGGUAGUGGCUUACCAAGGCUUUGACGGGUAGCCGGCCUGAGAGGGCGACCGGCCACAUUGGGACUGAGAUACGGCCCAGACUCCUACGGGAGGCAGAAGUGGGGAAUAUUGCACAAUGGGCGGAAGUCUGAUGCAGCAACGCCGCGUGCGGGAUGACGGCCUUCGGGUUGUAAACCGCUUUCAGCAGGGGCGAAGCUUGUGGUGACGGUACCUGCAGAAGAAGCACCGGCUAACUACGUG
rnacentral:rRNA from 1 species